GUUUGUGAAGAAUUGGUAUUGGUUCUUAAAUGUUUGGAAGAACACACCAGCAAACCCAUCUAAUCCUGGACUUUUUGUUGAUUUUCCUGGUACAUUUGAGACCAACUCCUGAAUGUGAAAGAAAGGCGGCUCAGCCACAAGGAGAGUGGAAGAGAGCUGGAAUACCGUGCGGCGACUGGAAAAGUUACAAGAAAAUUACAUGGAACCCCACUAACCACUCUCACUUGCGACGUGCACUGGGCCUUUCUGAGCAGGAUGAAGACUUGCACCACAGAAGCAGGAACCCCUGUGAACGUCUCCUACCAGGUAGGUACCACAUAGAUGUGUGAUGCAGCCUACUGUUAAAAAGUGUGUGUGUGGGGGGGGGGGCAGUAGUAGCAGAGACAGUGGCCCGAACCAUGGUUCAGUGAAGGCUGACAUUCCAACUUGGAGUGGAAGCCAAGAAACCUCAUCCCUACAUGAAGUGUGGC